GAUUUGAGCUAAUACCGGAUGAUGUCGCAACGCACCAAGGAUUUAUCGCCCAAGGAUGAGCCCGCUUAAGAUUAGCUAGUUGGUGAGGUAAAGGCUGCGCCCCGGCGACCAUCCUUAGCUGGUCUGAGAGGAGGAUCACCCACACUGGGACUGAGACACGGCCCAAACUCCUACUGGAGGCAGCAGUGGGGAAUAUUGGACAAUGGGCGAAAGCCUGAUCCACCAUUGCCACUUGAGUGAUGAAAGCCUUAUGGUUGUAAAGCUCUUUUACCCGGGAUGAUAAUGACAGUACCGGGAGAAUAAGCUCCGGCUAACUCCGUGCCAGCGACCGCGGUAGUACGGGGGGAGCUAGCGUUAUUCCGAAUUACUGGGCGUAAAGCGCGCGCAGGCGGCUUCUUAAGUCUGAUGUGAAAUCUUGCGGCUCAACCGCUAGUGGUCAUUGGAAACUGGGAAGCUUGAGUACAUAAGAUGAGAGUACAAUUCCACGUGUAGCGGUGGAAUGCGUAGAUAUGUGGAGGAAUACCAGUGGCGAAGGCAGCUCUCUGGUCUGUAACUGACGCUGAGGCGCGAAAUCGUGGGGAGCACACAGGAUUAGAUACCCUGCUAGUCCACGCCGUAGACGAUGAAUGCUAGGUGUUAGGGGGUCCAACCCUUAGUGCUGAAGUUAACA
rnacentral:rRNA from 1 species